rnacentral:rRNA from 1 species
UUUGUAUGUAUUAUAUGAAUAAGGAUCGGCUAACUCCGUGCCAGCAGCCGCGGUAAUACGGAGGAUCCGAGCGUUAUCCGGAUUUAUUGGGUUUAAAGGGAGCGUAGGUGGACUGGUAAGUCAGUUGUGAAAGUUUGCGGCUCAACCGUAAAAUUGCAGUUGAUACUGUCAGUCUUGAGUACAGUAGAGGUGGGCGGAAUUCGUGGUGUAGCGGUGAAAUGCUUAGAUAUCACGAAGAACUCCGAUUGCGAAGGCAGCUCACUGGACUGCAACUGACACUGAUGCUCGAAAGUGUGGGUAUCAAACAGGAUUAGAUACCCUGGUAGUCCACACAGUAAACGAUGAAUACUCGCUGUUUGCGAUAUACAGUAAGCGGCCAAGCGAAAGCAUUAAGUAUUCCACCUGGGGAGUACGCCGGCAACGGUGAAACUCAAAGGAAUUGACGGGGGCCCGCACAAGCGGAGGAACAUGUGGUUUAAUUCGAUGAUACGCGAGGAACCUUACCCGGGCUUAAAUUGCAGUGGAAUGAUGUGGAAACAUGUCAGUGAGCAAUCACCGCUGUGAAGGUGCUGCAUGGUUGUCGUCAGCUCGUGCCGUGAGGUGUCGGCUUAAGUGCCAUAACGAGCGCAACCCUUAUCUUCAGUUACUAACAGGUCAUGCUGAGGACUCUGGAGAGACUGCCGUCGUAAGAUGUGAGGAAGGUGGGGAUGACGUCAAAUCAGCACGGCCCUUACGUCCGGGGCUACACACGUGUUACAAUGGGGGGUACAGAAGGCAGCUAGCGGGUGACCGUAUGCUAAUCCCAAAAUCCUCUCUCAGUUCGGAUCGAAGUCUGCAACCCGACUUCGUGAAGCUGGAUUCGCUAGUAAUCGCGCAUCAGCCACGGCGCGGUGAAUACGUUCCCGGGCCUUGUACACACCGCCCGUCAAGCCAUGGGAGCCGGGGGUACCUGAAGUACGUAACCGCAAGGAUCGUCCUAGGGUAAAACUGGUGACUGGGGCUAAGUCGUAACAAGGUAGCCGUACCGGAAGGUGCGGCUGGAACACCUCCUUUCUGGAGC